rnacentral:tRNA from 1 species
GCGAGGGUGGCCGAGCCUGGCCAAAGGCGGCGGACUUAAGAUCCGCUCGUGAAGGCGUACCUGGGUUCGAAUCCCAGCCCUCGCA